UCCGAGUUGACCCCGGCAGUCUUCGAUGAGUCCCCGCCAUAACGCGCUGGCAACAUCGAACGAGGGUUGCGCUCGUUGCGGGACUUAACCCAACAUCUCACGACACGAGCUGACGACAGCCAUGCACCACCUGUCACCGGCCCCGAAGGACCUCCCAUCUCUGGAAGAUUUCCGGCGAUGUCAAACCCAGGUAAGGUUCUUCGCGUUGCAUCGAAUUAAUCCGCAUGCUCCGCCGCUUGUGCGGGCCCCCGUCAAUUCCUUUGAGUUUCAGCCUUGCGGCCGUACUCCCCAGGCGGGGCACUUAAUGCGUUAGCGCCGGCACCCAGGGGGUCGCUCCCCCAGGCACCUAGUGCCCAUCGUUUACGGCGUGGACUAC
rnacentral:misc_RNA from 1 species